GCCUGGGUGGCUCAGUGGUUGAGUGUCUGCCUUUAGCUCAGAGGGUUGUGAUCCCAGCGUUCUGGGAUCGAGUCCCACAUCGGGCU
rnacentral:tRNA from 1 species